rnacentral:lncRNA from 1 species
GAUUCCUGAGGAUCUUAGGCAGAGUGCUAUAUAGAGAGAGAGGCAAAAAGGCAGGCUAUAUCGAUAGAGUAUCAGACAAUUUGGCAAUGGAGAGGCAGGUGGCAAUCGUUGGAGCUGGAAUAAGUGGCCUCCUUGCCUGUAAGUACACCUUGUCGAAAGGUUUCCAUCCAGUUGUUUUCGAGUCCCAAAGGAGCGUUGGAGGGGUAUGGACCCAAACGCUGGAGACUACAAGGCUCCAAACCCCCAAGUCAGUUUAUCAGUUCUCAGAUUUUCCUUGGCCAUCUUCAGUCACAGAUGAUUUCCCUACCCAACACGAUGUCUUCGAUUAUGUUAAGGCGUAUGCACAACAUUUUGACUUGCUUAAGCACAUCAAAUUCAACACCAAAGUUGCUGGUAUUGAGUACGAAGGCCCCCCUGAUGAAGAGAUGCGAUCUUGGAGUUUAUGGGGUGGCACUGGUGAGCCCUUUAGCUCCAAAGGGAAAUGGAAGGUCAUCGUGGAAGACUUGGAAAGCCUUUCAACUGAGGUAUUUCUCAUCAUAAUUCAGAGGAUAAAUAGUGAUUUAUAUGACAAAAAAAAAGUUAUCAUAAUUCCGAGACUUGUGAAAUUCAUUGCAGAUUUACCUAGUGGACUUUGUAAUCAUUUGUGUGGGGCGGUUCAGUGGUCUGCCAAACAUUCCAGAAUUCCCCCCAAACAAGGGCCCGGAAGCAUUUCGUGGUAAGGUAAUACAUUCCAUGGACUAUGCUGCCAUGGAUAAUGAAAAGGCUGCUGAGUUCAUCAAAGGCAAACGAGUCAUUGUCGUUGGGUUCCAGAAAUCUGCUUUGGACAUUGCAAUGGAGUGCACUUUUGCAAAUGGUAAUUAGAAUUUAAUCUGAACUGCUGGAAUUCAUAGUUCUUUCUACAUUAGACCAAGUAAAGUUUGCUCUUACCUCUUCGAGAACCGAUAAAUUUUGUGGACUUCAUAUGGAAAGGAACUUGUGAUCAUGUCUCAAUGUGUUUGGUGUCGUUACAAGGAAAUAAAAUUUCUUUAAAUUUCAUUAGUUUUCAGGGGUGGAAAAUCCAUGCACAGUUUUCUACAGGACUGCACACUGGAAUGUCCCUGAUUACCUUCCCUGGGGGAUUCCACUUGGAUAUAUGUAUCUUAACCGAUUCUCAGAGCUUAUGGUUCAUAAGCCUGGUGAAGGGCUUCUACUUGGUCUCUUAGCUACAAUUCUGGCACCGGUGGUAACAUUGCUCUUCAUUCUUUACACCUUGCUAUGUUCUGUUUUACUUUUUAUCAAUGAGCAAUGUGCUUGCUCAGAAGCAAACGACAGUUUAUCUGUGAUUUCUAUAUUUGGAUGGAACCUGCAAAUAUCAGAUGACACCAUCCAUUUAUUUUCUUCACUCCUAUUGUUUCUUCCACUGAUUACUUGUAAUUAUUUGACAGAGAUGGUCAUAUUCAAAAUUUGUUGAAAGUGAUAUCAAAAGGAAGCUACGUUUAGCAAAGCAUGGCAUGGUACCCACACAUAACUUCCUCCAUGAAAUCAGUUCUUGCUUAAUCUCAACGGUCCCAGAAAAAUUCUAUGACAAAGUUGAAGAAGGAAAAAUCAAACUGAAAAAGGCUCCCAGCUUUAGUUUCUGUCACAAUGGCGUUCUGGUGGAAGGUGAGACUACACCUGUUGAGGCAGACGUGGUCAUCUUGGCCACUGGAUUCAAGGGGGAGAAAAAGCUCAGAGACAUUUUCGUGUCCCAAACCUUUCAGGACUACAUAGCUGGAUCACCUGAUGCUGCAAUUCCACUCUACAGGUUAAUUUUUUUUCUUUAGGCAGUCAAGGAACGAUUGUUCCGUAAUUACUUAGAUCAAUUCUAAUUAAAUUUCUUGUUUGAUCACUGAUCAGGGAGUGCAUUCAACCUCAUAUACCCCAACUAGCCGUGAUCGGAUUCUCUGAGAGUGUGUCGAAUUUGUACACCUCAGAGAUAAGAUGCCGAUGGCUAGCAGAACUUCUUGAUGGCACAUUCAAGCUGCCUAGCAUCAAAGAGAUGGAAAAAGAUGUGACAAAAUGGGAUGAAUACCUGAAACGAUACUCGGGUGAAUACUAUCGUAGGAAAUGCAUUGGUGCUCUUCAUGUUUGGUAUAAUGAUCAACUCUGCAAAGAUAUGGGAUGGAACCCCAGGCGGAAGAAGGGAUUCUUUGCUGAACUUUUUGAGCCUUAUGGUCCCUUGGAUUAUGUCCCCUUUUCAGCUGCCUCUUAGCCAUGGGUUUUCUCAUCUUUCAUCAUCUUGUUUUAUGAAUUUCAUUCGUGUUUGUCCCCCUCUUUCAACGGAAUGAGUUUGGUUUUGCUUCAUGAUACUUAAGGUAGCGUUUGGUACUUUACAAUACAAUAUGAUUACAAGUAACGUGAUUGUAUGUAAUGUGAUUGCAAGUAAUAUGAUUACAAGCAAUGUGAUUGCAGAGAAGAUAACAUUGCAGUGUUUGGUAUAUAAGUAAUGUAAUGAUUAAAAUACAGAGAGAUAAUGUUGCAGUGUUUGUUUUAUAAGUAUUUUAUAAGGUAUGUAAUGUUGAUUUUUUAAAACUAUCCUUAUAUAUUCAAAUACAAGUUUAACAUGUAUAUUUUAUUGUUAAAUUUUAUAUAAUGUCAUUUUUAAAUAUAUUUUUAAUUAAAUAUAUUUUUUUUCAUUUCUUGUUACAAGUAUAUAUUUUAUUUUUAAUAUAAUUUUUUAUAUUGUAUAUUUUAUUUUAAAUUUUUUUUAGAAGAUAAUAUUUUAUUUUUAUUUCUUAAUACGUUUUAUAUGUAUACAUUAAUGUGAUAGUUUCCUCUCUCGUAACCAAUAGCAAAUUGGCAAUUAAAUACCCAUAAUUCUCAAUCUCUAAUUAAUUUCUUUUGAAAAUAUCAUAAAUUCAAAAUAACUUGCUAUCAAGCUAAAACAAAAUAUCAAGCAUAACAUCACCAAAACAAUAUAACUGAAAAUCAUAAAUAAAGUUCCUUGAUUGAUGCUCUAAACCAAAAGUCAUAAAGUUCUAAUAAACCAAAAUUGAAGUCACCUAAAAGAUAGACACACCAUUGUUAAAAUACAAAAGAGUUCAAAGUUAAUAACACUGUUAAAGUUCACCAUAAAUUGAUAACUAGUUCUUUGCAAUAACAAUACCCAUCAUUUAGAUAGAGCCACUAAGCAAAGCCUUCACAUAAAUUUUCUGCAACUCCUCUGACAAUGAAAAUAGAUAAUUUAUUUUCCACAUAUCACUAGAGAUGAUAUGUCCAGCGUUAACAAUUUCUUCAGGAGUCAAACCUUCAACUCCCUGAACUAUCUCAACUACACACUUUUUCAACCUCGCAUCUUCAGCCAUGAAUUGAAAACAGCUUGCUAAUUUAUCAAUUCCUUCCCUUGCACCUUAACAGAUUUCUCCAAUUUUAUCCACACUAGAUUGGAAUGCAUGAACAAUGUUGUCACCAUUACUUUUUGUCUUAGUUUUUUUGUGACUCACCUCUCUGUCACCUUGCUUUAUAGUCCUUCUUCUAGCAGCAGUGGAUCCCUCACUAUUGGUAGCUUGAGUAGGAGAAACAUCAUCAUCACCAUUGUCAUUUUCAUCAACAUUCAAUGCACUGAAAGCUUCUGAAGCUACCCUUGUUGUUGUAAAUGCAACUUCCUUAGUUUCUAUGUUCUCCACUACAUCAACUGGUGACUCCGCUCUUUCCCCAGUUGCUCUAUCCUUCCCAAAUAUAAUGGCUAAUGGAUCAAAGUGAGGGAAAGGCUUGUUUCUAAGUCCUGCAGUAGCUGGGUGACUCUAUAUAUAUAACCAUAUACAAAGCAUCAAAAAACCAUGCAAAACAAAUAUAUGCCUACUUUAGAAUAUAAUAAUGUUGUAAAAUAAAUUAGAAUCAUUAUCUUAACCUAACCAAUCCAAACAUCAUCAUCACAAGUAACACAUUUCUUGACAUCAUCCCAACCGAAUCCAGAAGCGGAAUGCGAUAUCAUCUCAACAAUUUCCCUAUAUUGUGUCUUCAACAACCUCAUUCUAGAGUUAAUAUGGGGGAUAGCCUUUAUGUUGCAAUUUGAGAUCUUUUCUUUCAUCCAUUUCUCAAGUUGUUGCAAGUAACCAGGCUUGAAUGUUCCAUUAUCUCUACCCCAACUUUCUUCAUUCAUAAGAUCAAUGCAGCAGUCAAUUAAGACUCCAUCUUCAGUAGGUGUCCACUGAUGGGUGGAUCUUUUGCUUGCCCUUCUUAAUCCUUGAGAUGAUGCAACUUCCAUCUACAAGUAUAAAACAUAAUAUAGAAACAGUAUAAUAACAAAUAUAUAGUAUACAAUAGUUAAUUAAAAAUUAAAGAAGAAACAUAACUUAUCUAAUUAAGAACAAAUACAAAUAUGUCUCAAUCAACACAAAUUUGAGUUAUUACAAAUAAAGCAUACAACAUUUGUUGAACCAAAUAAAAAAUUAAGUUUCAUUUGUAGAAGCUAUCCAAUCAUUCCACAUUUCUUGUGCCAAGUUAUUUCUCCAAGUAGUCCAUGCAUUUGAUGUCUCAAUGUAUUGGAUCGUAUCUGCAUUUUCCAUCACUUCUGAUUCCAUAUACUCUUCAUCCAUUUCAUUCUCAAAUGGAUCAUGUGUCAUUUCUCUCUUAAUGUGAUUGUGUAACAAUGCACAAACAGAGAUAAUUCUACAUUUUGUUUUCACUGGGUACCAAGACUUCUCUUUAAGUAUUGCCCAUCUCAUCUUAAGGAAUCCAAAACAUCUCUUAAUAACAUUCUUAGCACCAAAGUAUUUUUAAUUAAACAGUUCUUUUUUUAAACGAGGAGUGCGAUUUUGUCUCCAUUCAUUCAAAUGAUAACGUUGACCUCUAUAUGGAGUUAAAAACUCCUCUCUAUUUGUAUACCCAACAUCACAUAAGUAGAAAAAACCUAUGAUAAAAAAUUUAUUUUUAGUCCAUCACUCUAAAAUAGUUAAUAAUUGAAUGUAUAUUUUCCUCAUACCUUUUAGGACUUUCAAUCCAUUUUUUCUAGAUAUUGCAUCUCGAAGAACCCUAGAGUCUGAAAGAGAACCCUCCCAUCCAGGUAAGAUAUAUAUGAAUUGCAUAUCCUGUGAACAUACCCUUAACACAUUUGUAGCAAUUUCAUUCUUCCUUGUUCUGUAUCUAGGCUUAUCAAUUUCCAAGGCAUUGACUUUAAUGUAAGUUCCAUCUAAAGCACCUAAACAAUUUUAUUAUUUCCAAUAGAAUAAUGACAAAAAUUAUCCUUUAGUUGCAUUUUUAAUAGAUUCUUAUACUCAAGCUGUAAAUGUUUAAGAAAUUUUAGUUUACCUUAAACCAUUUCCAUCUGAAGUCAGUUGAAUACUCGGGUACAGGCUCUGGCUUCUUUAGCAGUAUUGAUUGCAAUCUUAAAACAGAAUUCAAAACUAAACCAAAAUGCCUACUCACUGUCUCACCACUUCUAACAAAUUCUCUCUUAUGAUCCUAUUCUUUGCAUGAUGAGAAAUGAUGUACAAAAAGAUAGCUACCAUUUCCUCAGCAUUCAUAUUUUUUGUUGGUGUAAGCCUACCAAUGCAUUGAAGCAUAUUACAUAAUUUAUACAAUGCAACUCUAUCCAUUCUAAUAUUUUCAAUGCAUGUUAAAUCAGAAUCAAAUACCAUUCUCCUAAAAUUCAAUUGCCUAACAAUAUGUCUCCUAUAAGUAUUAGUUUUGGAUCUUUUACGCUUUCUAGUAUACAUUAAAAUAUGAUAACAUCCUUGAACCAAAGUGUUAGCUAAAAGUAUCAUGUUGAACAGCUCAAUGGCUAAUACAAUAGCAGACACGAUCGUUGCAAUUUGCUCUUGAGAAAACCCUUCCAUUGUGUGAACUAACAAUAUAAAAAAAUAAUUAAUAUAAUGAAAUAUAAAUAUUAUAUAAAAACAGCAUAUAGUAAGCAUAAAGUUAACUUUUCAUGUCCACCUUACAAAUAUUCAAUUUAUUCAAUUUAUAUAAAAACAUUAUAUAAAUACAUAUUCAUUAUUUUUAAGUUAACUUUUUGCACUCUUUUCUUGCACCCUAAAAUCUAAAAAAAAAUUACAAUGGUUUUCUACUGUCAAGACCAAUUUUACCCUAAACAAAAUAAAAAAAUGGGAGGUCAAAUCUUAAAAAAAAAAAGGCAAAAAAAGAGUAAAAAUUCAAAUUCAGUGUUAAAAUGAGGUUUUUUGGGGUCAAAACGGUGUCAAACUGCCUUCUGCCAUUUGUCAACGCAUAGAUCUCGAAAAGUUACAUGGAUUCAAAAAAAAAUCACCCCGAUCAGACAACCGAGCGCAAAGUUACGACUUUUUGAAGUUGAGUAGGGGAAGAGAUUCCUAUAUAAACCAACGGGGCAUUUUGAAAGAUAAGAUGUUUUCACUAUGUACAGAAACAUGUGACACGUCAUGUACAGAAAUAUGUGACACGUCAUGUAUAGAAAUAUAUGACAUGCCAUGUAAAAGAACAUGUGACACGCCAUAUACAGAAACAUGUGACACGUCAUGUAAAAGAACAUGUGACACGCCAUAUACAGAAACAUGUGACACGCCAUGUACAAAAACAUGUAACACGCCAUGUACAGAAAUAUGUGACACGUCAUGUACAGAAACAUGUGACACGUCAUGUACAGAAAUAUGUGACACGUCAUAUAUAGAAACAUGUGACAUGUCAUAUACAAAAACAUGUGACACGUCAUAUACAAAAACAUGUGACAAGUCAUGGUUAGGUUGUUACACGUCAUGUUGAAAAAAAAUAUUGUUAUUACACGUCAUGUAUAAAAACAUGUUACACACCAUAGUUAAAAAAGGUUAUUACACGCAAUAUUGGAAAAAAAAUAUUGUUGUUACACGCCAUAUUGAAAAAAUAUUGUUGUUACACGCCAUAUUGAAAAAAUAUUGUUGUUACACGCUAUGUUGAAAAAAUAUUGUUGCUACACGACAUAUUCAAAAAUAUUUUAUUACACGUUAAUGCUAAGUACGAGUUCUAUUCAAAGCCAAGAUCCAUGGAUUUGGCAAUGCUAGGUACGAGUUCUGCUGCUUUCAGCAUUUCUAAUUGGAUAAAAGUUCUAAUUAGAUGGAACUUAAAAACUAUUUGAUUACCCAUAUUUUGUUGAGGGAAUAAAAACCAAAAAUUGCAACACCAAAAAUUACAACCAAACACGCAGCAUUUUAUUUCAUCACAAUUACCUGUGCCUUUUGUUGAAAAUUAACUCAGAAAUCCAACCUCUCUUGCCGAUCAAGGGCCAAAUUGUUUCAGCUAUAAACCCUAAAAUACAAAUAAGAAGAAAACUCAAAUUAACACAAAAAAGUCAUAUUAAAGAGUACAAGAAAAAGAUAAAAAAAAAAAAAGAGAAAGAAAAAGAAGAAUGAGAAAUUUUAACCAACAAUUUCAGAUGAUGAAGUAGCAGAGCUAGAAGAAGGAUGAGCGACUUUAGCAAAAUGAAGAAGAAGCAGCAGAAACUCCAAAAAUGACGAUUUUGCUUCUAGUUUUUGAGUAAUUUUUUUAAAAGAUGAUAGGUAAAAAUGUCUUUAAAGAUAUUACAGACUGUAAUAUAAUAUGAUUGCAUUGGUUUUGGACUGCAAUCACAUUACAUCAAUUGGCUGCAAUGUGAUUGCAUUACAAUCUUACAUUGCAGUGGUCUGUUACAAAACAAACACUGCAAUAUAAUUUAAUUGAGCAUAUUGCAGAGAAUGUGACUUUACAUCCUUUAUACCAAACGCAACCUUAAUACGAAACACGAUGUAAGAAUAAUUGAUUUUUUAUUUUGGGUAAUAAUAAGAAUAAGAAAUAUUAAUACUAUUUUAUUUAAAUUAUAUUUAUUAAAAGGGUAAUAUGUCUUUUAAAUUGAGGAUUGCUUCACAUUGAUUUUAAUUUAAACUUGUUUUACUUUUUCUUUUAUUAAUUUAUUUUUCUUUGAUUCAUGUCACGUGAUAAGUUCGUAAUUCUUACAUGUAAUAAAAAUAUUAAAAUUAUCACAAUUUCACAUUUCUUAAAUUAAGAAUAUCUUUAAUAUAUAAAUAUAAUAAAUCUUUUCAAAUAUUAUUAAUAAAUUUUAAAUAAGAUAUUCGGAAAAAAAUUAAAAAAAAUAGGGAAUAUCCAAUAAAUAUUUCCCACCAGCGAACCGGUAGCUAUUAUCGAAGGCCAUAAAUAUCUCGAACCGAAGAGGCCCAAUGAGAAUAUCUCGAACCGAGAACCAUGCCCAGGGAGACAUAUGCUUGUUUGUUUGUCUUUACCUCAAUACGCCUUUUUAGCCAUAACAUUUGCAUGGGUUUAUUAAAUCUAGUCUAUUUUUGGUUUCCAUCGGUGGAAAAGACUUGAGCUCUAGUUAUAGUAAGUCUAGCGGCUGUCUAUUACUAUGUCAGAAGGAAAGAUGAGCUAAGAAGAAUCAAAUGAAAAGACCAGCUUCUAUUAUGGAGCAGAAUGGCCCAGCCAACCAGGCACAGAAAAUGGGAGACGAGGAUUCACGUGAUGGGUGUUGAUUUAUUACUUAAUUCUUCUCUAACGAUUAAUCAAUCGCUCGGUUCAAGUGACAAACCUACCAUUGGACCACAGCACUUGAGACGACAAAACUUCAGACCUCAAAACAAUUUUAUCAGUUCUCAGAUUUUCCAUGGCCAUCUUCAGUCGCAGAAAAGUUCCCUAGCUAGCAUCAAGUGCUGGAGUACGUUGAGGCUUAUGCCCAUUAUUUUGACUUGCUUCGGCAUGUCAGAUUCAAUGCCAAAGUUGUUAGCAUUGACUUCGAAGGGCCAACAGAUGAAGAGAUGCGCUCUUGGCAUCUCUGGGGUGGGACUGAUGAGCCCCUCAGCUCCAAAGGAAACUGGAAUGUUGCAGUACAGGCCACCCAGAAUCAUUCUACAGAGGUAUGUAAUUAAGUUUAUAAUCAUAAAGCUCAACAAGAACAAAGUGAAUGAGAAAAAAGAUGAUGUCAUGCCUUGGAUGAAUUUUCUUUUAAAUGUGAAAUUCAGGUUUACCAGGUGGACUUUGUAGUCCUCGGCCUAGGCCGGUUCAGCGGCAUUCCAAACAUUCCAUCGUUUCCUCCAGGAAAAGGGCCAGAAACCUUUCACGGUGAGGUAAUACACUCCAUGGAUUAUGCUGCCAUGGAUUACAAACUUGCUGCUAAAUGCAUCAAAGGGAAGCGAAUUGUUGUAUUUGGACUCCAGAAAUCUGCCUUGGACAUCGCAAUGGAAUAUUCUACAGCAAAUGGUAAGAUUACAAAGUUUCUUUAGUUCUAAGAUGUACGCAAAACACACAGGGUUGGAUUUUCUGACAUGAAGUUUCAAUCUAAUCCUGUUUCCAGGCGUAGAACUUCCUUGUACAGUAUUAUACAAGACCGAACGUUGGAGCGUUCCCAAUUACCUUCCAUGGGGAGUGCCGCUAGCUUAUUUAUACCUCAAUCGCUUCUCAGAGCUUUUGGUUCAUAAGCCUGGUGAAGGCUUCCUCCUCAGUUCAUUGGCAACAAUUCUUUCACCUCUGGUAACUAAUAAAAUUUCUUAUCUAAAGCACAUCUUGAGCACCUUCAGGAAAUUAACCGCAGCAGACUGAAAUCGGUUCUAUUAACUGCAGCAGACUGAAAUCGGUUCCUUGCUAUUAAACAGAGAUGGGUACUCUCAAAAUUCGUCGAGAAUUAUAUCAAAUGGAAACUGCCUUUGGCAAGGGUUGGGAUGGUACCAAAGCACAGCUUUCAUCAAGAAAUUAGCUCCUGUUUGACCUCAACAGUGCCAAAAAACUUCUAUGACAGAGUUGAGGAAGGAAGCAUCUUACCGAAGAAGACCCAAAAUAUAAACUUCAUGAAGAAGGCAUAAUGGUAGAUGACGAAGAUUCACCUCUAAAGACAGAUUUGGUGAUACUGGCUACUGGAUUCAGGAGAGAUAAGAAGCCUAGAGACAUUGUUGCGUCCCCCACUUUUCCAGACUGCAUGGCCUGCACACCUGAAGCAAGAGUUCCAAUAUACAGGCUGAGAAUCUUAACUAGCUACAUGUUCAAACAAUAGUUUCAUCAAAUUAAACCGGUAACCAGAAAAAAGAAUAAAGAUUAUGAGAACUAACUCAUAUCUCUUCAAACAAGAUGGAUUUCUAGGAGCAAUGAAGCUUGAUGAUAGGAAAAUGGCAAGAAAUCGGCUCUCGGCUACUAACGAGAAAUGGAGUAGCGAAGCACUUUUCCCUCAAAGGUGGUGGACAAGACAAAGUGAAAAUGAGCUUCCAUCCCCCUUUUUCUUUGUUAUGGGCGGACCUCUCGAGGCAAAAGCCUUGAAAUGACUUUCAUUUUUCAUUUUCUCAUACGUGCGCGGAUUGCCCAAAGUCACUUUCUUUUUCUAUUCUUUUUUUUAUCACAUGUCAUUUUAUGCAAUCCCUUACUUUGUUAUUAACGUUACUUUUCAGAGUGGCAUGUGCAUGUAAUAUUGUCUUAUCUAUUCUUUUUAUCUUUGGUUAGAUUGUCUUAUCUAUGCAUUGUUCCAUAUGGUAUUUUUUUUGAAUUAUUUCAUUUACAUUUUAUUUCACAUGUAUUUUAUUUUCAUUUUCUUUUAAUACCAUCUUAUCAUCCAAUAAUAUUUCAUACACAUUUCCUUUGUUAAUAGCCUUUGCCAUCCCAUGAACCAAUAAAACUUCAUGCAUUUAUUUCUUAUUUGGCCUCCCUCACAACCAAUAGAAUUUCAUGCACUUUUUAAUUUAUUUCUUUUAUUCUUAAUCCUUUUUCUACUAGCAUGUGUAACUACUCAAAUUUCAUGCAUAUCUUUUUUUUAAUAAAAUAUUAUUUAUUCUUCUUCUCUUUAUCAUCUUUUAUAGGAUAGGGGUCUCAUAUGUCCCUCACUAAACUUUAUAUUUACGUACAAUUAUUUAUAUGUAAUUGUAACUUCACGUGAUAGAAAUUUUAUAUGUCUUUCAUUAAAAAUUAUUUUUUAGAGAGAAAAAAGUAUGAUGGUUCUAGAACUACUUAAAAGUAUUAUGGUCACCGACAAGAUUAAAAGAAAUUUUUCUUAAUUAACCAUGCAUGUGUGCAUGACUUAUUUUAUUAUAUAUUAAAAUACCCCAUUUAAUGAUUCUUAACAGGGGUACUUAACAUUUGCCUUGCCAGUAUCAGUAGCUAGCACUACUAGCACUGCUCCAGAGCAGAGUUAUUUAAUAUUUUAUUAACCAAAAAUCAAAGUUAAAGUUCUGCAUUGAAUAAAGUGAUUAAAGGAAAGUAGAUUCAAUUGACCUUGGAUCUUGCAAAAUAAAAAAAUCGAUUUCUUUUCCAAUGCAAGAUUCACUGAAGGACACAAAAGGAAUUAUGCUAGAAAGAAUUACCACUAAUGAUCUGAGUUAAAUAUUUCAAUGCAUUGAAAGUAAUAAAAUAUAUAUUUAUANAUUUCAUGCAUAUCUUUUUUUUAAUAAAAUAUUAUUUAUUCUUCUUCUCUUUAUCAUCUUUUAUAGGAUAGGGGUCUCAUAUGUCCCUCACUAAACUUUAUAUUUACGUACAAUUAUUUAUAUGUAAUUGUAACUUCACGUGAUAGAAAUUUUAUAUGUCUUUCAUUAAAAAUUAUUUUUUAGAGAGAAAAAAGUAUGAUGGUUCUAGAACUACUUAAAAGUAUUAUGGUCACCGACAAGAUUAAAAGAAAUUUUUCUUAAUUAACCAUGCAUGUGUGCAUGACUUAUUUUAUUAUAUAUUAAAAUACCCCAUUUAAUGAUUCUUAACAGGGGUACUUAACAUUUGCCUUGCCAGUAUCAGUAGCUAGCACUACUAGCACUGCUCCAGAGCAGAGUUAUUUAAUAUUUUAUUAACCAAAAAUCAAAGUUAAAGUUCUGCAUUGAAUAAAGUGAUUAAAGGAAAGUAGAUUCAAUUGACCUUGGAUCUUGCAAAAUAAAAAAAUCGAUUUCUUUUCCAAUGCAAGAUUCACUGAAGGACACAAAAGGAAUUAUGCUAGAAAGAAUUACCACUAAUGAUCUGAGUUAAAUAUUUCAAUGCAUUGAAAGUAAUAAAAUAUAUAUUUAUAUAUAUAUAUAUAUUCUAACCUAUAUUCUACCUAGAUACUUUAUUUACAUCUAAUACCUUAAAAGUAAUUUUUUUUUAAUUUUUGGAUUUUUCAUUUCUUUUCUCUUUUAAGUGCUCGAGAGACAUUAUUGAGUUCUCUGGAUGACUGGAUGGAUGAGAUUUUCAGUCAUUUCAGACACCAGAACCGACAGCAAACUCAAGACUCUUGCUAGACAUUUCCAAAGCUUCCCUCCCAAACUGUUGAAAACCAAAACUUCUAUAUUCGAUUUCAUCAAAACCCCAAACAACAGACACAAACUACAUUUCUUCUCUCUUUCUAUUUCUCUCCCCGUUCUUCUUAUCAUUUUGACAAUGUGCAGGGAAAGCUUCACAUUACUCAGGUACAUUCUCCUGGUUUAGAAAUUACAAGUUAAAUAAAAGAGGAAAUUUGAUUCGAUUUUUUGAAUUUUGGUUUAUGUUGGAAUUUUAAUUUUUUAUAAAAAUAAUAAUUAAUGUAGCGGUAAUGUUGACUGUAGUUUAAAUGCUUGCUUUGAGGUUGUGACCCUUCUUUAGUGGAGUGAUUGUCUGUAUGGAAUGGAAUGAAGUUGAACCAUUUACUUAGCAUAUGUUGGUCUAUGGUUUGGUAGAGUUUAGGCUUUGUUCUCUGAAUUGCAUGGUUGCUGAGAUUGCAUGUGUGUUUUGAUGGUUCUACAUUUUUUUCCUGGGGUUAGAUAUUUCGCUUACAGUUUGCUAGUUGUUUUUUCAGCUCAUUUUGUGCUUUGAUUUCUUCUUUUCUUUGUUGGUUACAGCUUUUUAUAUUUAUUUAUGUUUCUAAAUUGUAAACCAUUGGGGUUGGCACUGGCAUAUCUAUUUCUAUCUGAAUUUUUGGAUGAUUUGUCAACAAGGUCAUUAUAUGUUUUAACACAAUAUUGCAUAUUUACUGUUUUUUCUCAUAAAAUAUUGUUAAUAUCUCUAACAACAUUUAUCUAUGCAUUGUUGUUAACAAUUACUUUAUUGCUCAAUUCAUAGAUGAAAUAUAUUAUCAAAUUAUUUAACUAUUCAAAAUAAUUUUUAAGCUAUACGUGUCAAACAGUAACUCCCGCAGGAUAGCGCGGGUGAGUGACUAGUUUGUAAUGCAUAUGAUGGAUGCAGCUCCAGUUAUGCUCCUGUUGGUGUUCACGGGGAUAGUUUAUUUAUUUGAUUCCUGAAGAUCUUGGGCAGAGUGCUAUAUAGAGAGAGAGGCAAAAAGGCAGGCAAUAUCGAUAGAGUAUCGGACAAUUUGGCAAUGGAGAGGCAGGUGGCCAUCGUUGGAUCUGGUAUAAGUGGCCUCCUUGCCUGUAAGUACACCUUGUCGAAAGGUUUCCAUCCAAUUGUUUUCGAGUCCCAAAGGAGCGUCGGAGGGGUAUGGACCCAAACGCUGGAGACUACAAGGCUCCAAACUCCCAAGUCAGUUUAUCAGUUCUCAGAUUUUCCUUGGCCAUCUUCAGUCACAGAUG